AUUGAACGCUGGCGGCAGGCCUAACACAUGCAAGUCGAGCGGAGCGGCGGACGGGUGAGUAAUGCCUAGGAAUGUGCCUGUUAGUGAGGGAUAGCGUCCGGUAACGGGCGCUAAUACCGCAUACUCACGGCUUAGGCUAGGUCGGAUUAGGUAGAUGGUGGGGUAAAGGCAUACCAAGGCGACGAUCCGUAACUGGUCUGAGAGGAUGAGCAGUCACACUGGAACUGAGACACGGUCCAGACUCCUACGGGAGGCAGCAGUGGGGAAUAUUGGACAAUGGGCGAAAGCCUGACCCAGCCAUGCCGCGUGAGUGAAGAAGGUCUUCGGAUUGUAAAGCACUUUAAGUUGGGAGGCGUUACCAACAGAAUAAGCACCGGCUAACUUCGUGCCAGCAGCCGCGGUAAUUC
rnacentral:rRNA from 1 species